rnacentral:rRNA from 1 species
AUGUCUGAAGAAGAGGCUAAGCUCAUCGGGUCCUUCGGCAGCCCGGCCGUGCACCGCGUCGAGGUGGCCCUGCGGCUCAAGGGCGUCCCCUACGAGUUCAUCCAGGAGGACCUCAACAGCAAGAGCGACCUGCUGCAGGAGCACAACCCCGUCCACCACAAGGUGCCGGUGCUCCUCCACGGCGGCCGCCGGCCGGCCCUCUGCGAGUCGCUCGUCAUCGUCGAGUACGUGGACGAGGCCUUCCCCCGUGGCCCCGCGCUCCUGCCGGCCGACCCACUCGACCGCGCCGCCGCCCGCUUCUGGGCCCGCUUCAUCGACGACAAGUGCGGGGUGUGCACGUGGGUGGCGCUGUGGGGGGAGGGCGAGGCGCGGGAGGCGGCGGCGAGGGAGACGAAGCGGAACCUGACGCUCCUGGAGGCGCAGCUCGGCGGGAGGAGGUUCUUCGGCGGCGACCGCGUCGGCUUCCUCGACAUCGCCGCCAGCGGGCUCGCGCACUGGCUGGGGGUGUUCGAGGAGAUGGCCGGGGUGACCCUGCUCACCGAGGAGGAGCACCCGGCGCUGUGCCGGUGGGCGAGGGAGUACGUCGCGGACGAGGCCGUGCGGGGGUGCCUGCGUGACAGGGGCGCGCUGCUCGCCGCGCUGGCUGCCAGGAAGGACAGGUACGUGUCCACCGCCAAGGCAAUGGCGCGCAAGUAG